UGCAGGGGCCUGGGGGCGGGGCCUGAGCCAGCCUCUCCAGCCGCCGGUCCUUUGAGGACUCCACCGUCUGCUUCUUGGCCGUCAGUUUCAGUCUGCAGCGCCUUCCAGUCUUCAGCAUGCCUGGUCCGACCCCCAGUGGCACUAAUGUGGGCUCGUCGGGGCGCUCCCCCAGCAAAGCAGUGGCCGCGCGGGCGGCUGGAUCCACGGUCCGGCAGAGAAAAAACGCGAGCUGUGGAACAAGGAGCGCGGGGCGCACGACCUCAGCAGGCACGGGGGGCAUGUGGCGAUUCUACACGGAAGACUCCCCUGGGCUCAAGGUGUAAGUGUUGGGGAACAGACGUUGUGGAGUGUCACACAGCCGUGGGGCAGUGCGGUCGCUCCACCAGUGGCGUUUGCCCUGAUGAGAUGUACGGUACACGACAGCUUCAUUCGUGCCAGGUGGGCUUGGUUUGGUUUGUCUGUGUAUCAGCCUUUAGUUUCGAGCCUAGAAUAACAUCUCCAUGGAUUGAGGGAGAGCAAGGAAAAAAUCUUCAUGUAGCUGUGUCAGAAUAAAUGAUGGGAACAGAGAGAACUGGAGGGAAAACUGCUUAAUUAGAUGAACUUGCUCUUCAUUUGGUGUUCUUGUCCCACACUGAGAAAGAGGAGUAACCACUUGUGUUGGAGUUGGGUGAUUUUUCAAAGCUCUCUUGGAGGCACUAGCUGAUAUUAUGACAGCCUAAUGGGGGUGUCUGUAUUAGGCUGUGUUACCAAAAGUUCUUUGGCCCCCUUUGCCUUUGGUGGGUGGUGGGUGACUCUGGAGGGUGAACAUAACCACUGUCUAAGUUCUUCGGUCAGGGAGUGCUCAUUAAGUGAUGGGAAAUGGGCAUCCAGGGUCUCCAGGCCUUGCUCGCCUUACUUUCCAUGGUUUCUGGUACCGUGUGGCAGAGCUGGUCCCACAGGUCUCUUCGUGUGAGGCUCCAGAACACCCCUACUUACCCUGCUUAAACCCGGUGGCUAAGGAAUUGGAAUAAUGACGCACUCCCGUUCGCGGAGCACCUCUGUUCACAGAGGCAGUUACAUGUGGAAGGCAGCCAGCAGGGGCUGGAGCUGUGUCUUCUGACUGUUCAAUCCCAUGCUCUUUCCAUACUACUUGUCUGGUAGAAAGAGACAAAAUUAGAUUUAUUUGGAUUAAUUAAAUUAACUCGUAGCUUGACUUGGAUCGCAAAUGUAGUUGACGAAGGCUUCCCUAGAAUUCUUGAGAUUUGGUUUUAUCGAGUGAUUUUUUACUAUUCUCUUGAAGACUUGUUAAGGCAAGGAUGAGCUUAGGAAAUCAUUCCUGGCGUUGGGGUAUGUGAGUUGGCGGCAUGAAAAACGUUUUGGUCUUUGUUUCAAGGUAAUCUUUGUGAGUAUUUCAGAGAGAAAUUUUGAAGCCCCUUGCUCUUCAGGGUCUCCAGGGGCCUUACUUUAUACCCUUCUCAAGAAGGGGCUCAGACCUGUUCUCCUGCGGGUGUCUGGCCUGUGCUAGCUGUCGAACAGCCAGGCUUGCUUGCUGCUCCUUACUGCUUGAGUCCUCCCAGGAUAGAACCUGUUCCUUGAAGUGUCAUAAACCAUAGUUUAUCAUCAAUAAGAGACAGAUGUUUUUGAUGAAAAGACACAGUUGGGAAUUUGUAUCCACAGAUCCACAUCUUGGAGCUUGUUGCUGGUUCUUCUUAGGAGUUGAGAAUUUUUUUUUUUCAGGCUGAUAAUAGCAUCUCCUGGAAGCUUACUAUAAACCUGCAUUGUGUUCGUAUUAACUUAUUUAGUACCUCAGCAACCCUAUGGGAGAGGCACUGGGAUUAUCCCCAUUUUACAGAUGAGGAAAAUGAGGCUCAGAGAAGGUAAGUGACAGGGCCUCAGUCACAGCUCCUGGGUGACAGAGUUGAUUCCCAAAUUCCAGCUCUCUGGGAGCUGCGCUCUCAGAUUCAUGCUCUGUGUCUCAUGUUGCUUUGAUGUCGCACCAGAGUGUAGGGGGUGUGCUUAAGUGUAACUCGGGGAAGAUUCCCUUCAUGUAUUUUUAAAUUUGUUUACUCCCGUAAUUGUACAGAUCUUGGAAGAACAGAUGAGUGUAGCAAGGACUUUGAUCUCUGUGUUGUCUGUUGGCCACUAGUGGACUCUUACUCUGCUGCCCUCGCUGUAAAGAUUUCUGGGGUCUUUUCCGUUGUCCACUUCCCAUUUGUAUCUGGGAAGUGAAGUGACAUCUUGAAUUCUCCAAAACUGGUGUUGGCAGGAAGAGUCACAAAGGAGGGGCCCAUAACAUUUCAUCAGAGUCAGCAUUCACAGGUUGUGUGAGAUCAAGGGGUUCUCCCUUUAAGAAGUCCAUGUACUAAUUCUCAACUUGAGAAGCAUUUGAUUUAGGGAAGGGCUGAUAAGUAAAACUUAUUUCCUUCCUUUAAUAAACUCCUACAUGGAACUAGAUGGGAACUUUAAAAGAGAGAGACAAGUACCCUGCUCAGUGGGGAAUCUGCUUCUCCGUCUCCUUCUGCCCCUCCUCCCCGC